rnacentral:lncRNA from 1 species
GGUCUUAGAAAGUAGAAAUUUAGGUCUAAUGAGGGUUAUUAAGAUUUCUUGCAAUCUAUUAGUUGGAUUGGAGUGAAAUUUGUGUAUAAGAUUAGUUGACUUGUUUUUCUAUGUAUAUAAGGAUUUUGAAAUCAAUCGAAUGGUAAAAAAGUGAGAUAUUGGCUUUGGGAGAAUAGUAUUAAGGUCAGAGAAGGAGGCCAGCUAUUACCCGAGCGUGUUUUUGAGGUUAACGUCUAUUUAGUAAUUUCAAUCCUUUUCAAUUUUUUUAUACUUAUUUUUAACUUAAUUUUUAAGAAGUAUAUAAAUUUUGAGUUAAGAUUAAUAGAUCAUUCAUUAGUUAUUGAGGUUUAAGUUUAUUAUAGGAAUUACUAGGAUUUGAUUUAGGAUUUAGGAUUUGGUUAGGAUUAGAUUUAGAGUUAGGAUUUGGUUUGGAUUUGAUUUAAGAUUUAGGAUUUGGUUAGGAUUUGGUUUAGAAUUUAGAAUUUGGUUAAGAUUUGAUUAGGAUUUGAUUAGGAUUUGAUUAAAAUUUAAUUUAAGAUUUAAGAUUUGAUUAGGAUUUGGUUUAGGAUUUAGAGUUUGAUUAGGAUUUGAUUUAGAAUUUAGGAUUUGAUUAGGAUUUUAUUUAGGAUUUAGGAUUUUAUUAGGAUUUAUUUAGGAUUUAAGAUUUAGUUAGUUUUGCCUAAAGUUUGAAUGAAGUUCAAUAGGAUUUGAACUAGGAUUAAAUUAAGAUUUAAUUAAGAUGUAUUUGAGAUAUAUUUUUGAUCAUUCAAAUAUUUUUUUA